CAGUAGCCACGGGAAUACGAACCGUGCGAACGUUAUUCGGAAUCGCUGGGCUUAAAGCGCGUGUAGGCGGGCCGCCACGUCGGCUGCUGAAAUCCCCCGGCUCAACCGGGGAAGUGGCACCGAUACGAGCGGCCUCGAGGGGGGUAGGGGGGACUGGAACUUCCGGUGGAGCGGUGAAAUGCGUUGAGAUCGGAAGGAACGCCCGUGGCGAAAGCGAGUCCCUGGACCCUUUCUGACGCUGAGACGCGAAAGCCAGGGGAGCGAACGGGAUUAGAUACCCGUGUAGUCCCUGUCUCUUAUA
rnacentral:rRNA from 1 species